rnacentral:rRNA from 1 species
AGAGUUUGAUCCUGGCUCAGAGCGAACGCUGGCGGCGUGCUUAACACAUGCAAGUCGAACGCGCAGUUUUCUGUAGCAAUACAGGAGACGGGCGCGUGGCGAACGGGUGCGUAACACGUGGGCAACCUGCCCUCAAGUGGGGAAUAACCACGCGAAAGCGUGGCUAAUACCGCAUAACAUUCCGGAAGCUCCUGCUACUGGAAUCAAAGGUCGCAAGACCGCUAGAGGUGGGGCCCGCGCCCGAUUAGCUUGUUGGCGAGGUAAUGGCUCACCAAGGCAAUGAUCGGUAGCCGGUCUGAGAGGAUGGCCGGCCACACUGGAACUGAGACACGGUCCAGACUCCUACGGGAGGCAGCAGUGGGGAAUCUUGCGCAAUGGACGAAAGUCUGACGCAGCAACGCCGCGUGGGGGAUGAAGCUUCUCGGAGUGUAAACCCCUUUUCGACCCGGAAGAAUGCCCGCAAGGGUAUGACGGUACGGGUAUAAGAAGCCCCGGCUAACUACGUGCCAGCAGCCGCGGUAAAACGUAGGGGGCCAGCGUUGCUCGGAAUUACUGGGCGUAAAGGGUCUGUAGGCGGUGCGGCAAGUCGGAAGUGAAAUCUUAGGGCUUAACCCUGAGGCUGCUCCCGAAACUGCCGUGCUCGAGUGCGAGAGAGGCGAGUGGAAUUGCAGGUGUAGCGGUGAAAUGCGUAGAUAUCUGCAGGAACAUCCGAGGCGAAAGCGGCUCGCUGGAUCGCAACUGACGCUGAGAGACGAAAGCUAGGGGAGCAAACAGGAUUAGAUACCCUAGUAGUCC